AUCGGUGCAAUGUAUAUGCAAUCAUACUUAUGGUAAUCAUUCUAUCCAUCUGGAUCAGUACCUUGAGUCGUUUCCUUAAGUCUUCUGCGUCGUAACCUAAAGAAAAUUAAAGAACUCAUUGAGUCUCCCAAGACAUAAAGAAUCCACUUGAUCAAGAAACGGGCAUCUAAUAAUAAGAGUAAAACAAAGAGAGAAGAAACCAAACCGUAUCCUCAUCGUCAUCGGAAAGUAAGGGUAGAUGAAGCGUCUCUGUAUCUGCAUCCAUACCAACAAACUCAGGAGACCCCAUGAGUAAUUAAGCGUCUACGUAGCUGAAAAAAAAGUAAAAAAAAGUAGGAAUAACUUCACAAAUCUCAAAUCAGAAAUAUAAAUAGAGACGAGCACAUAAUUUACAAAACAAUUAGGGUUUUAGAGGGGAGACGAGGUCGGCUUCUAAUAUUAUCAUAAUGGGCCUGCGUGAUAUAUUUCGGCCCAUAUCUUUUUUUUGAAUAAAUUAUAUCGACCCAUUUAUCAAAUGUUCUGAUUCGAAGAA